rnacentral:rRNA from 1 species
UUGAAGGUUGGGUAACACUAACUGGAGGACCGAACCGACUAAUGUUGAAAAAUUAGCGGAUGACCUGUGGCUGGGGGUGAAAGGCCAAUCAAACCGGGAGAUAGCUGGUUCUCCCCGAAAGCUAUUUAGGUAGCGCCUCGUGAAUUCAUCUCCGGGGGUAGAGCACUGUUUCGGCUAGGGGGCCAUCCCGGCUUACCAACCCGAUGCAAACUGCGAAUACCGGAGAAUGUUAUCACGGGAGACACACGGCGGGUGCUAACGUCCGUCGUGAAGAGGGAAACAACCCAGACCGCCAGCUAAGGUCCCAAAGUCAUGGUUAAGUGGGAAACGAUGUGGGAAGGCCCAGACAGCCAGGAUGUUGGCUUAGAAGCAGCCAUCAUUUAAAGAAAGCGUAAUAGCUCACUGGUCGAGUCGGCCUGCGCGGAAGAUGUAACGGGGCUAAACCAUGCACCGAAGCUGCGGCAGCGACACUGUGUGUUGUUGGGUAGGGGAGCGUUCUGUA